UGCUACCCUUGCAAAUAAUAGAUUUGGCCGUUUGGUGUUACAAAUAGACUUCACAAAGUAGGAAAAGCAAGAAAAAAGUAUUUAAAAAUUAUAUAGAAAUUGAUUCUUUCAUUCAGAGAAGAAUGAGACUAAUAAUGAAACAAUAUUUUAAGGUAUUCUUAAAUGAGAAGAAAUCGACAAAUCAAAUAAUGGCAGCAGGCACUGAUCAUAACUAACUUCUCAUUUAUAGAUUCAUGGCUUAAGAUUAAAGGAAAUUUCUUACACAUCACUGAAAUGUAGAAGAAAUGUAUGAAAAGCAGCUGUGAAACAUCGUAAGGAGAGGAAAAAAUUGUACCAUAAAAAUAGGACAACCAUAUUUUCCACAAACUUCUCAAGUCAUCUGGAGGAUGUUUAUCUGGAAACAAACACUGCUGUGAAGGCUGGAUCUGACUGUACUAGCUUCAGUAUAAGGCACUAUGCUGUUAUUGCUGUGAAAACCUGGGGAGAUAAAAUAGAAGUGUGGUAAGGUAAAUGUAAUAACUGAGCUGGUAAGCAAUGCACUCUGCCUUCCUGAAGUCAUUUCAGUCAAAAGGAUUCAGCAUUUUGCAAAAGGCAACACAGGCACACUGGUUUGCUAAGAGAUAAUUUCAUAUUUCCUUGCUACGUAAGCUUAUUUUUCUCAUGGAAAUGACAAAAAUUCUACUGAAUGGCAUUUAUUUCUGUGAAGGGAUGUACAUGUGAGCGUAUUUAAGAACUAGAAGCUGGCAUAACUGUGUAUAAGUAAAUGUUUACAGUUUGUAUGAAAUCCCGUGUCAUUUUGAUGUUCUCAUUAUGAAUGAAAUACACGAUACCAUCAGAAAUCACUUUCAUUGGGAAACUGAAAAAAACCAUGCUGAAUUUCUGAAUGCUUCUUCAGUAUGUUUACAUUCCAGCCAACUCCCCAGAGUAUCUGAAUUUCACUUUAAAAAGCUCUGCAGGUCAAACUGUUCUUUCAAUUCCAUUGGCUCAAACUUUGCAUGCCAAGCUGGACUUCUCGUUUCAUGAGUCUGACUACUAGCUACUGCCUGUCACAGACAAGGGAUAGGACAGGAUUGUAACCUCAUAACUUAGGGAAGUAUUUUUGUUCUCUGAACAAGAAUACAGAGAAACCGCCAGCAAACAUUGCUUUCAUUAUGAUUUUACAAUC
ensembl:lncRNA